rnacentral:rRNA from 1 species
CCUACGGGUGGCUGCAGUGGGGAAUAUUGCACAAUGGGGGAAACCCUGAUGCAGCGACGCCGCGUGAGUGAAGAAGUAAUUCGUUACGUAAAGCUCUAUCAGAAGGGAAGAAAAUGACGGUACGUGAGUAGGAAGCACCGGCUAAAUACGUGCCAGCAGCCGCGGUAAUACGUAGGGGGCAGGCGUUAUCCGGAUUUACUGGGUGGAAAGGGGGCGUCGACGGGGCGCAAAGUCUGGAGGGAAAAGCCGCAGCUUAACUGAGGAACUGCUUUGGAAACUGGCGAACUAGAGUGCGGGAGGGGUAAGCGGAAUUCCUAGUGUAGCGGUGAAAUGCGUAGAUAUAAGGAGGAACACCGGUGGCGAAGGCGGCUUACUGGAUCGUAACUGACGUUGAGGCUCGAAAGCGUGGGGAGCAAACAGGAUUAGAUACCCGUGUAGUC